GUUUUGUAGGACUUUACAAGGUAACUCUCUUGAAGGUCCCAUACCAUCCAGUUUUUCUCAGUUGACCUCAUUGGAAUCCCUGCGAAUUGGCGAUUUAUACACCGGAAGUUCUACCCUUGAUUUUGUUCAAAAUUGGGAGAACUUAACUGAGUUAAUUCUAAGAAAUGCAUUGGUUUCUGGUCC